CACGUAGUUGGCCGGUGCUUCUUCUACAGGUACCGUCACUUGCGCUUCGUCCCUGUCGAAAGAGGUUUACAACCCGAAGGCCGUCAUCCCUCACGCGGCGUCGCUGCAUCAGGCUUUCGCCCAUUGUGCAAUAUUCCCCACUGCUGCCUCCCGUAGGAGUCUGGGCCGUGUCUCAGUCCCAGUGUGGCCGGUCGCCCUCUCAGGCCGGCUACCCGUCGUCGCCUUGGUAGGCCAUUACCCCACCAACAAGCUGAUAGGCCGCGGGCCCAUCCUGUACCGAUAAAUCUUUCCACCCACGGUCAUGCAACCGAAGGUCAUAUCCGGUAUUAGACCCAGUUUCCCAGGCUUAUCCCGAAGUACAGGGCAGAUCACCCACGUGUUACUCACCCGUUCGCCGCUCGUGUACCCCGAAGGGCCUUACCGCUCGACUUGCAUGUGUUAAGCACGCCGCCAGCGUUCGUCCUGAGCCAGGAUCAAACUCU
rnacentral:rRNA from 1 species